rnacentral:rRNA from 1 species
GACGAACGCUGGCGGCGUGCCUAACACAUGCAAGUCGAGCGGAGGUACCCAAGGAGUAAUCUGAGGGUACUUUAGCGGCGGACGGGUGAGUAACGCGUGAGCAACCUGCCUUUCACAGGGGGAUAAGGCGGCGAAAGCCGCUCUAAUACCGCAUGAGACCACGGGGAUGAUAUUUCUGGGGUCAAAGGAGCAAUCCGGUGAGAGAUGGGCUCGCGUCCGAUUAGGUAGUUGGUGAGGUAACGGCCCACCAAGCCAAUGAUCGGUAGCCGGCCUGAGAGGGUGAACGGCCACAUUGGAACUGAGAGACGGUCCAAACUCCUACGGGAGGCAGCAGUGGGGAAUAUUGGGCAAUGGGGGAAACCCUGACCCAGCAACGCCGCGUGAGGGAAGAAGGUUUUCGGAUUGUAAACCUCUGUUCUUGGAGAAGAGAAGAAGACGGUAUCCAAGGAGGAAGCCCGGGCUAACUACGUG